UACGAAGGACCCGAGCGUUAUCCGGAUUUAUUGGGUUUAAAGGGUGCGUAGGCGGAUUUACAAGUCAGUGGUGAAAUCUCCCAGCUCAACUGGGAAACUGCCAUUGAAACUGUUUAUCUUGAGUACAUUUGAGGCGGGCGGAAUGUGUCAUGUAGAGGUGAAAUUCUUAGAUAUGACACAGAACACCAAUGGCGAAGGCAGCUCGCUAAACUGUAACUGACGCUGAGGCACGAAAGCGUGGGGAUCAAACAGG
rnacentral:rRNA from 1 species